GGUCUUCUUAGAAAAGUAACUUCAGUUCUUCUAGAGAGUUUGAAUUGCCAAUGAUAUUAGGCUCUGAUACCAAUUUGUAAUAUUCUCGUGCCCAGGAUCUCGUCACAUCCUAUUAACAGUGAAAUCUACUUCAAAAGAUAAAGCUUUUGUUUUAUUUCGAUUUUUUCCUUGACCUCUUAUUGCUGAAAAAGUGAGCUCGUUAAAAGGGAGCUGUAACCUUAGACUCAUUGAAGAAGAGAAAGUCCAGGUUUUAAUUUAAUUAAAAAUAGUUCUACUUAAUUUUAUU
rnacentral:misc_RNA from 1 species